GUGAAUCAUCAAAUUUUUGAACGCAAAUUGCACUCUCUCCGGAGAGUAUGCCUGUUUGAGGGUCAGCCUAAAAAAAAUCGACAUAGUCGCUGUUUCGCGGUGACGUUCGUCGGAAAUUGGGUCAUCUUAAACCUUUGGGUUUUAAGCGGCUUAAAAUUUUCUUUACGAUUCCCCGACCGUUUUUAGAAUUUACUUCUUAUACGUUUAGGUUAUCA
rnacentral:misc_RNA from 1 species